rnacentral:rRNA from 1 species
AUUGAACGCUGGCGGCAUGCCUUACACAUGCAAGUCGAACGGCAGCACGGGAGCAAUCCUGGUGGCGAGUGGCGAACGGGUGGGUAAAGUAUCGGAACGUGCCCAGUCGUGGGGGAUAACGUAGCGAAAGUUACGCUAAUACCGCAUACGAUCUAUGGAUGAAAGCGGGGGAUCGCCAGACCUCGCGCGAUUGGAGCGACCGAUAUCAGAUUAGGUAGUGGGUGGGGUAAAGGCUCACCAAGCCGACGAUCUGUAGCUGGUCUGAGAGGACGACCAGCCACACGGGGACUGAGACACGGCCCAGACUCCUACGGGAGGCAGCAGUGGGGAAUUUUGGACAAUGGGCGAAAGCCUGAUCCAGCCAUGCCGCGUGCAGGAUGGAGGCCUUCGGGUUGUAAACUGCUUUUGUACGGAACGAAAAGGUUUGGGCUAAUAAGCUGAGCUCAUGACGGUACCGUGAGAAUAAGCACCGGCUAACUACGUGCCAGCCGCCGCCGUAA